GACGAACGCUGGCGGCGUGCUUAACACAUGCAAGUCGAACGCUGAAGACCUGGCUUUUGUUGGGUUGGAUGAGUGGCGAACGGGUGAGUAACACGUGAGUAACCUGCGCUCUUCUUUGGGAUAACGCCCGGAAACGGGUGCUAAUACUGGAUAUUCACUGAUCUUCGCAUGGGGGUUGGUGGAAAGGUUUGUUCUGGUGGGGGAUGGGCUCGCGGCCUAUCAGCUUGUUGGUGGGGUGAUGGCCUACCAAGGCUUUGACGGGUAGCCGGCCUGAGAGGGUGACCGGUCACAUUGGGACUGAGAUACGGCCCAGACUCCUACGGGAGGCAGCAGUGGGGAAUAUUGCACAAUGGGCGAAAGCCUGAUGCAGCGACGCCGCGUGAGGGAUGGAGGCCUUCGGGUUGUAAACCUCUUUCGCUCAUGGUCAAGCCGCAACUGUGGGUUGUGGUGAGGGUAGUGGGUAAAGAAGCGCCGGCUAACUACGUG
rnacentral:rRNA from 1 species